ensembl:snRNA U6 U6 spliceosomal RNA
GUGCUCGCUUUAGCAGCACAUAUACUAAAACUGGAAUGAUACGGAGAAGAUUAGCACGGCCCUGUGCAAGGAUGACACUCAGAUUCGUGGGGCAUUCCGUAUUUUU